rnacentral:rRNA from 1 species
GUCUACAGCCACGCCACCCCGAACAAGCCAUCUCAUCUCGGAAGCUAAGCAGGGUCGGGCCUAGUUAGUACUUGGAUGGGAGACCACCUAGGAAGACCAGGUGCAGUAGGCG